AAUUCCCAACCUAUGCCAGAGUCUAGGAAAUGACAAUACCAUUUUCAUACUAACAGAGACAGACUUGUUGCCAUGGCAAAUUGGUCUAAUCACCUUUACCAAACAAAAAAACGACACGUAACAAAGAAAAAUACGAACAUAUAAGUGAACCACCACAGUCAAUGCAAAUCAAUGCCUCAUCUCCAGCAAUCUUGCCCCUGCCAAAUAAGGCUCUUCCAGUAGCUCCAUCGUCAACCUCUCAGAAUCAAUCAAAGGCUUCCCUUCCUAAUUUAUCUUUAUGUCGACUUUGUAUAUUAACUCUAAUUGAUUUUGUAUUCAAUCACAUAUCUACUUACUCUAGUUAGCAUCAUCAACUCUGUAUAUAAGUCAUGUACUACUCAUUGCAUUGAUCAUCGAAUAAAUACAAAAACAUCAUUCCAAUACUAUUAUUUACAUGGUAUCAGAGUUUUAAGCUCCAACAAAUAUAUC
rnacentral:lncRNA from 1 species